UCUGACACAGGUGCUGCAUGGCUGUCGUCAGCUCGUGUCGUGAGAUGUUGGGUUAAGUCCCGGUAACGAGCGCAACCCUUGUCCUUAGUUACCAGCACGUUAUGGUGGGCACUCUAAGGAGACUGCCGGUGACAAACCGGAGGAAGGUGGGGAUGAACGUCAAGUCAUCAUGGCCCUUACGGCCUGGGCUACACACGUGCUACAAUGGUCGGUACAAAGGGUUGCCAAGCCGCGAGGUGGAGCUAAUCCCAUAAACCGAUCGUAGUCCGGAUCGCAGUCUGCAACUCGACUGCGUGAAGUCGGAAUCGCUAGUAAUCGUGAAUCAGAAUGUCACGGUGAAUACGUUCCCGGGCCUU
rnacentral:rRNA from 1 species